rnacentral:rRNA from 1 species
GACGAACGCUGGCGGUGUGCCUAAUACAUGCAAGUCGAGCGAAGCGGCGGAUGGGUGAGUAACGCGUGGGUAACCUGCCCUUAAGUCUGGGAAAACAUAUGGAAACAGAUGCUAAUACCGGAUACUAAAGGAUGGACAUGCGAUGCAUUAGCUAGUUGGUAAGGGAACGGCGUACCAAGGCGAUGAUGCAUAGCCGAGGUGAUAGACUGAUCGGCCACAUUGGGACUGAGACACGGCCAGAACUCCUACGGGAGGCAGCAGUAGGGAAGCUUCCACAAUGGACGAGAGUCUUGUGGAGCCACGCCGCGUGAGUGAAGAAGGUUUUCGGAUCGUGAAGCUCUGUUGUUGGUGAAGCGGUAAUCAACCAGUAAGGCACGGCUAACUACGUGCCAGCAGCCGCGGUAAUUC